rnacentral:lncRNA from 1 species
ACUCAGAAAAGCCCAGGGGGGCUGAACUGUCAAAAUUUCCCGUAGCACUCAUCCAAGCAAUAUGGCCGCCCAAUGUUAUUGUUUUGAAAAUGAAAUUGGUGAUCGGCUUAGAAAAGUUUUCGGAUUAUCGGUGUAUCGAAACGUGUUUCCGGCAAGCGAACCAUGGAUACAAUGUUUUCGACGCUCCUCCCGUCUGUGUUGCCCUUGCACCUGCAUCCUGCAUCAGCCGUACACAGCUUGAAGAGCACUUCCGGGGCGAAAAGGAUUAAAGUAACAGAAGCUGCAGAUUCAGUCCUCAGGAAGCGUUCGGAACUUCUCGUGCCUUCUGUCUAAACAUCUCGGCCGCGUUCAGAAUCGCGCAGACGUUCAUUGAUAAAACCAGCCAUUUGCCUUCUGUUCAAGUGAAUCUCGUGCUCAUUCGACACUUGCGGGCCACCUUACAGCAACGCCCGAAA